AAAACAAAAGGGCAAAUUUGGAAUUUCAUCCCUUCAAUGCUUUCCCCUCCUUUUUGAAGUGUCUUCCCCUCACAUAGAGAUUGCGAGAGAGCGAGAGAGAGCAGCGCAAGAACAGCUUCUGAAAAAUGGACGGACAAGAAUCAGACGAUCAAAAACAAAGCACUGCUGACAUGACUGCCUUUGUGCAAAACCUUCUGAUGCAGAUGGUGAGUUUCUUGUCCACAUUGUAACACCUUCCAUUUGAAAAUUCAGAAAAUCAAGAAUGCUACCAUGAUGCAGGUGCUUCAUGGAAUUCUGUAAAGUAUACAUGGAAACAUCUCUAUUGUACCGUGAGUCCGUGACACUUGCUUACAGAGAUCAUGACUGUUGAUCCGGUAGUCCAUUGCAUGGAUGGCCCAUAUCCCAAAAAGCAGUGGAAUCUUAUUGUGGUAGUCAUAUGGUUGCAUGGAGCAUGAAGGAGGUGACAAUAGAUUUGGGUGUGGGCGCAGGGUAGUGUCCUUCUCAAAAUGUUGUCUAGUAUAAACAGCUAGAAUGCAGGAGUCAAAGUGUGAGUCCGAAGCAUGAUCUGAGGCGGGAGUGUCACUGGGGUAGAAGGUUUGUGAAACAAAGGGUAGCCAUCCAAUUAGCGGCCUUAAAAGGGAUUAUCAACACACACCCACACAAAAGAAGUAAAAGAAGAAGGGUCCACAUUCAACAGGUUAAAUGCACAACAAUCAAACCUUCUGACUUGUCCAAUCACUACAAUCUUUUGUUUGGGGUCCACCAGAUCAACAGCCUCUCAAUCACCAUACAAGUUUGUCAUGCGUUCAGUGGGGUUGAUACAUUGGCAUUUCAGAGAAUAAGCAUGAAGCGUGCAUCAUGAUAGCAUCUCUCUAGGAGUAAAAUCAGGCAAAGCAGAUUCCAGGCAAUGUCUGAGUCGAUUGUCUCAAAGAAUAUCCUUUUUUCACCAGUGCUUUCUUGCAAUGCAAACUUGAAAGUUAAAACUGUGUUCAGGUGGUACAACCUAAUCAAGAGCUUUUCUAAGUUCACAUACGUGUGCAAUAAAGCUUAUGUGUCAUGACACAUGAGCGCCAGCAUGGCACAUAUGUGCAAGAUUGAAUCCAUCCAUCAGGUUGGUUCUACCUUGUACAUGUUUUCCCAAAAAUAAAUCUGGUCCAGUCAGCAUGUGGACCCAAAUAUUGAAACAUGUCAAUGGUUUAGAAAACUCCAGCCAACUUUUUCAGAGCCAAACAUUUGUUUUGCAAACUGUGGCACACCUGACCAAUGGAUCAACCUGAUUCUUGGGCUGAGAUAUCAAUAUAGCGGUACCAUACCAACCGAUGGAUUGGAUCUUGGAUCUAUCAUGCCAUGCUGGCACAUGUGUGGGGUGGACGUGAGCUUUAUUGCACGUGUGUUGGCUUAGUGAAGCUCCCGAAUAAAAUUGCAAUCAUUCGGCUUAAGAAACAGCCAAACUAUAAUGCCUUUUUUUUUUGCCUAACUAUAAUGACUUAUCCCCUCAUUCAUAAUGAGGAUGUAACCCUCACAUUAUAGUCGCACUGCUUUUGAAUCGGACGUGAAAGUGAUGUAAUUACUAUCGGGAGCCUUAUCUUUCAAUAUGAAUGUCAAGGCAAAGCAAUUGCAAUUUGGCCACCUGCAUCAUUGAGCUAUUAUUGCAAUUAAAUUUGACGGUGCAACCAAACGCAGGUUCAAUGACUAAUGCACAUUUUAUUGAAGAAUGCUUUAAUAUACCGAGUUUGUGAGAACCUUUCCAUGUAUCUAGUUUCAUUUUGGUUAUUUGGACAAUCAUUAUCAUUGAUCUUGAGUGUCACCUUGUUCGGAAAUGCAUGGUGAAGAUCGUCUUUAAAAGAGUAGGUCCAAUCAGGAAUUCGAUAGUCCAAUUUGGUUGAAUCCACCUUGGAUUGCUUAUGGAUCUAGACAUUAUAACAUUACUCUGGUCAGAUGAAGCUAUCCAUCCAAUCCGUCUUUGAAAAUGGAUGCUUAUGUUGAAAGUGACCAGACCAUGGAAAGUUAGAAUCAUGUGAUGGAUGUGAUUUUCCUUCUGGCACAGGAAGAGUUUGUUGGAUUGAAUGGGCAGUUCAGAUUGGCAAUGCUGCUGCCCAUGUAUCCAAAUGUAACUCCACAAAAUGCCUUUUUCAUUUGCACGACUUGUAUGAAUGGAUGCCUCGGGAGUUUCCUUGACUGCUAGCCACUCGAUGAAAUGGGUACCAGGAUAGAUGAAUUGGAGCAGAGCAUCAAUGACCUCAAAACUGAAAUGGGGGCGGACAGCUCGUCCCCUUUGGCCCCUGCUAAAACGAAGCCCGAAGAAACCAAACCAACAGAUGGUUCGACAUGAGAUUGCUGAGUUGCAAGGAUGGAAUCUCUGAUCUGAAAGAUGACUCACAAGGCCUUUUACUUGCUUGAUGUCUCUAUCUACUGUUUUGUUGGAGAUUGAAGGUGUGGAAACUAGAACUUUUACUUGAUUGUCUGAGUGUUGCAGGUGUUUAUGUAUUUUUUCAGGAUUUAUAUUUCAUUCUCACACAUGCCAGAGAAGUAGGA